rnacentral:rRNA from 1 species
CGUGAGUAACCUGCCCUUGACUCUGGGAUAAGCGCUGGAAACGGCGUCUAAUACCGGAUACGAACUUCGACCGCAUGGUCAGGAGUUGGAAAGAAUUUCGGUCAAGGAUGGACUCGCGGCCUAUCAGCUUGUUGGUGAGGUAAUGGCUCACCAAGGCGACGACGGGUAGCCGGCCUGAGAGGGUGACCGGCCACACUGGGACUGAGACACGGCCCAGACUCCUACGGGAGGCAGCAGUGGGGAAUAUUGCACAAUGGGCGCAAGCCUGAUGCAGCAACGCCGCGUGAGGGAUGACGGCCUUCGGGUUGUAAACCUCUUUUAGUAGGGAAGAAGCGGCUGUUUUCUCAGUCGUGACGGUACCUGCAGAAAAAGCACCGGCUAACUACGUGCCAGCAGCCGCGGUAAUACGUAGGGUGCAAGCGUUGUCCGGAAUUAUUGGGCGUAAAGAGCUCGUAGGCGGUCUGUCGCGUCUGCUGUGAAAACCCGAGGCUCAACCUCGGGCCUGCAGUGGGUACGGGCAGACUAGAGUGCGGUAGGGGGAGAUUGGAAUUCCUGGUGUAGCGGUGGAAUGCGCAGAUAUCAGGAGGAACACCGAUGGCGAAGGCAGAUCUCUGGGCCGUAACUGACGCUGAGGAGCGAAAGCAUGGGGAGCGAACAGGAUUAGAUACCCUGGUUAGUCCAUGCCGUAAACGUUGGGAACUAGAUGUAGGGACCAUUCCACGGUUUCUGUGUCGCAGCUAACGCAUUAAGUUCCCCGCCUGGGGAGUACGGCCGCAAGGCUAAAACUCAAAGGAAUUGACGGGGGCCCGCACAAGCGGCGGAGCAUGCGGAUUAAUUCGAUGCAACGCGAAGAACCUUACCAAGGCUUGACAUAUACCGGAAACGGCCAGAAAUGGUCGCCCCGCAAGGUCGGUAUACAGGUGGUGCAUGGUUGUCGUCAGCUCGUGUCGUGAGAUGUUGGGUUAAGUCCCGCAACGAGCGCAACCCUCGUCCUAUGUUGCCAGCACGUGAUGGUGGGAACUCAUAGGAGACUGCCGGGGUCAACUCGGAGGAAGGUGGGGAUGACGUCAAAUCAUCAUGCCCCUUAUGUCUUGGGCUUCACGCAUGCUACAAUGGCCGGUACAAAGGGCUGCAAUACCGUAAGGUGGAGCGAAUCC